UAGUUCCAACAUUUCCCGGUAGAGGCGUCGUAAUAAGCGCAAUUUUAUCUUACAAACUUUCUCUUACAAUUACCGAAGCAUUUUCUUUUACAUAAAAACAGGGCAAAAUUAUUAUUGCUAAUUAGAUAUUGUACUCUUUGUUAGUAAGUUUAUUGUUUCUUCGCCAUUAUAAACGCAAAUAGCGUUCAGCAUCAUCGAUCUUUCACGUGACCUCUGGCCUGGAUUUAAAAUUUUUACCGGUAUUUCCGAGUGCACGGCGGCACGGAUUCAUUCGUUCGUACACUCAAGACUGGUUGCUUCUUUGUUUCUAAAACUAGUUUCUUGCGCUUCGAUGUAACUUGGGGUGAAGUUACGUGUUUGCAAGCGGACAUGUAAGCCCGGCAGUUGGGUUUCGGUCGUGAGCCAUUCGGAACAGGUCUGCAUCGAAACGGGAGCUGGAUUUUGCUGCGGCUGACAACGGCAAUAACGACAUGCAGUAAUGAGGACGGCGCCAGUAUAAAGCAACACACUCCACGCACUAAACAGAAGCUGCUGCCUGCUACAACAAGGUCAUUGUGUGGACAUUGGCUACUACUACAAGAGUCUAUGCCAAGCACAUCUUGGUCGUCACAGGAGCUCCUAUCUGCACUAACAGGAAGGGGCUGGAGCCGAAUUUGCAAGGCUUUUACACCAAGAACAAAGAAGCACAUGCACAAGAAUAUGGAUGAGAUAUCAAGUCUGCAAAGGACUGUGUUAAGACUGCAAAGAGCUUCAGCCACCAUUCCACCAGCACGGACAUUUGGCUGAGUCAUCCAGGUAACUCAAAAAGGACUUUCUAGAAAUUCUUCGUCUUCAGAUGCACCUGCAACAUCUGACCAAGCACGGACGACGCUGGCCAAAAGAUUGAGUUCCAUCAGUUUGCCCUUAAUCAGCUUCCUAGCCAUGUUAAUUCCGUUUGUGCCAAGUGUAAUUUUUCUUCUAUAAAUGCAAGCUUUCUCAUUGCCCAUUUUUGUUAGAGGUCAUUCAUCCUCAUCCAAAUAUAAAGGUCAACCGAUUCUUCGCUGAUACUUAAUACCAGUCACUGUCUAGCAGCCUAACAUAUCUGUAGCAGUAUCUUCUAGUGUAUGUUGUCAUGCGCAAUUACUCUCCUGAAAUAGCUGAUGCAGCAUCGGCAUGCGUCUUGCAUUAACCUAUGCACAUGUGCUAUGCACCAUUUUACUUUUCUUGAUGUUUUUAGCCUUCAAUGCUUGCAGAGCAGAGUGGCUUCUCUCUUGAAUGCAAGCUUUCUCAUUUUCCAUAUUCCUAGUCUCGUUGAUGAUUGCUCCUCUUCCUUGAUAGCCUGGGUCUUUGUGCAAGCUACAGUGAAGUGAUUGAUUGCAGAAUCUGGUUUUGCUGCCACACUUGGUUGUGGUAACUGUGUUACGUUUCUCAGA